GUAGGUCGGGACACGUGUUAUCUUGACUGAAUAUGGGGGGACCAUCCUCCAAGGCUAAAUACUCCUGACUGACCGAUAGUGAACCAGUACCGUGAGGGAAAGGCGAAAAGAACCCCGGCGAGGGGAGUGAAAAAGAACCUGAAACCGUGUACGUACAAGCAGUGGGAGCCUCUUUUAUGGGGUGACUGCGUACCUUUUGUAUAAUGGGUC
rnacentral:rRNA from 1 species